rnacentral:lncRNA from 1 species
UCUAUUUGUAAUUUUUUAAAGAACAGCCACGCUUUUCCGUAGUGGCUGCAUCAUUUUACAACCCAAUAAACAGUGCACAAAAGUUCCAACUUCUUUACAUCCCUGCCAACACUUGUUGUUUUCUGGGUUUGUUUUUUUUUUUUAUUUGAUAGUAGUGAUCCUAAUGAGUGUCAGAGUAUGAUUGUAUUUUAAGGGAAGAUUUUCAUGCUUCACCCUGAAAGAAUGAUGAUGGUGUUGAUUUCAGGCUCUGGCACAAGCCAAGAGGAAAUAUUAGAUAUUUUGUUUAGGAAAUUCUUGUUGCAUCCUUCAAAUCACAUGACAUAAGCCUCAGCAGAAUCAUUAUAUAUCACUUGAGUGACAGAUAGCUGAGUCACCUGCCCCUGAGGUCUAGAUAAGAUUACCUUCUCCAUACCCCAUUCUAGAAUUGAGAAAAGUCAGACUCAUGACACAGGAUUAUGCACAUUUCUGGAGGGCUUAUUUGUCAUGGUCUUAUCUCUGUUUUUUGCGUCCUGCUCAUGUUAUUUUUUUUUUUCCCCCUCUCCUAUCUAUAUCAUUCUUGUUUUGUUUCACACGGAUGCAGACCUGGACCUGAGCCACUUUUCUUGAUUUCCCAGAAAUAGUCACUCACUCAAAGCCCUUGUAUGUGCAGCAGAUUUCACUGAUGCUUUAAGGAGGAGUUUAUGCUGCAAAAAAGCAAGCUAUUUAAAACUGAAUAUUAGCUCUCCUGCUUCUAGAAGUUCUUUGGGCCAUCCUGCCUCAGAGCACUUGUUUCCCCUGCUGUCAAGCCACUCUCUACAGCACCAUUUGCCGUUUUGCUGACUUCUCCUUUCCCUUCCCCCUCCAUCUUUUCAUCUGAGUCCUUACUAACUCCUAGUUUGCCAGGGCUCUGUGCUGCACCAGCUAGAACCAUGUGGGACUAACGGGCUCUUGUCCCAGGUUCAUGCUUCAUUUCUUCUCCAAGGUCAACAGACAUCUCUCCUCUUAAGAGAGAGAUACAAGAACCCUAAAGCCUGGGCCAAAGUUUCUCCGCAGCUGUAAUGGUUUCCUGAAGCUGGAGAUUUUGCCUCGACUCCUAGACCCAGUCCUCCUUCCAUACUUUAGAGUUCCCAGGGAUGCCACAUUCUCCUCUCUUUAUGAUGCACAACAAAUCAUAUCCCUCAAACUCCACUGUAAGUAAGCCCUCCUUUGCCAACCCAAAUCUCAAAAUGUUCACCUAAAUAAAAUACUCUUUCUCCAUUUAUGAGCUCAAAACAGAAGUGGAGAUCUUGAGUUUUCCUUUAGAAGGUCUAUCCACCUUCCUUGAGAAGGUAAUGGUUUGAAAAGCAUUUGUUUUUCUUCUUAUACCCCAGAAAUCUCUGUGAUUUACUGUUGUUGACGACCAUUCUGACUUCAUGCUUUUGGGAAGGCUUCUUGGAAUGGCUGAGUCUUGAAAAAAAAAAAAAGAUAGGAUUCUGACAAAUGUAUUUCUUUUCUCCAUUGCAGCUGAAAUCAAGGCUAGCUAGGCAUGGUUAACAGUGUUUCCUAAAGCUGUUUGAGUCUAUUUACUUCAAGGACUCUCUUUUGCACUACCCAUGGAAGCUAGACUUCCAGAUUCCCCACAAUAUUGGCUUUCUAACUUGGGCAACUGUUUUGUGCCUUAUUCACACACUGGUUGCUGUUUGCGGCAGGAGGCUAAAAGAGUUGUUAGACUCUGUAGCACUUGGCUGUAAUUAUAUACUCCUUGACCUCACCUACAUAGUUGAAACCCCUGCUGCCUCCCUCCAGACAGAUAUCCUAGUGGGGAGUCUGGCUGAAGAUUGAAAGGUUGUCAUGGAAGUCACAUUUAAUUGCUUCCUCUUACUAUAUAUGGUAGGCUGGAAAUGGUAUCAUGAAGCUAAUCUUGUAAUCCUUUUCUUCCUGAAAGGAGAACAGUGGAAUUCUGUGAACCAGAGAAAUGUAGGCAGCUGGGAGUCGAACUUAAGCACCAGUAUGAAUCUAUGGUUAUCAUCCAAACUAAAGGGAAUGAAAGCUUUACUCUGAAGGAACUGGGUCCAGUGCCAGGACCUGUGAUAGGUGCUGAGAGAGGUCAGUGAUUGGCUGUGGCACCUGCCCUUAUGCUGUGUACUCUCUGGCAUGAUUCUCCUUCCACCUGAAUGGUAGACUUCCCCUUGGUGAUACAGUGCAUUGAACUACAUUAUAGAAUUAGUCUUCAUUUUUAACAUGUUUGUAGAUAAUAAAACAAAGGUUCAAAGAAGUCAAGUUGUUUGCUCAAGAUCACACAGCUGGUAAGUUGUGGUGCCCAAAUCUGGAUCUAGGUCUGUCUCUAAAGCCCUUUCUACUUUAUCUAUUUGUCUCCUGAGCCAUUAGCACAUAAAAUACAGUUCUCAAGCACUACCACCACCCAAGGAGUCGCUACAAGGGAAAUUGAGGUGGGCCAUGUCUAGGGCUGGGGAUCUGCAUUUCUGUCUUUUUCUGACAUUUUAAAAUAGGGGGAUUCCAAAUUUUGCACCAUAUCACCAUUGCCUUGUCACUAACCAUAAUACAUUUACCAUCUGAAGGAGGCAAGAAAUAUCUGUGAGUCACAAAAAAGAACAAUGGGCUGAUGCAUAUCCUAUAGGUUCUACCUUCAAAAUAUAUCCAGAAUCUGAUGACUUCUGCCCAUCGCCUAUACUAACACACUGGUUAAGUCACCAUCAUUCUUGUCUGGGGGAUUGUAGCAGCUUCCCAGCUGGUUUUCCUGUUUCUACUCUCACGUCCUUAGAGAACGUUCUCCUCGUAGCAUCUAGAGUGCUCCGUUAAAAAGGUAAAUCUGGUUAUGUCACUCCUUGCUCACCAUCCUCCAGUGGCCCAGACUGCAUUUAGAAUAAAAUCCAAGCAACUUUGCAUUACCUUCAAGUUUUAAUGUUGAAGUUUAAUGUUCCUCCUCCCCACUUCUCAAGCCCUUCUCUGUCCCAGCCUCUUUGUACUUGCCGUAGUUUGUACCACCUGAUGUUCUUCCCAGGGCUUUUUGCUGGUGAAGGAGAUCAGAAUAUGUCCCCCCAAAAUAUGCCUUUUUGACAUAGGAAUUAGUUUGAGCUGAAGGCAAUUAAGAAGUAGCAAACACAAGAACAUUUCUCUCAACCCUCCCCCUUUCUGCCUAAAGGCAGGAUCUAAAUUCUCCUUUCCUAGGUCUGACUCCAGACUCUUACCAACCCAGAGACAGCACCAGAGGAAUCUGCCAACAACUCUUACUCCACUAGUUUACCCCAUAUGUUUACCUUCCCAUAGUUCCCUGCCCUUGGAAACCUAAAACUGCUUUCCUUUGUUCUGUCAUUUCUCUACACAUUUAUUAUUAUUCUUUGUUCCGUCAUUUCUCUACACAUUUAUUAUUAUUCUUUGUUAAAAAUGCUAUAAAAGUCGAGUCCUGAAAGGUUAUGGACUCGUCUGUCUCUGGGUACUCACAUGUGUCACAUGCAUGAUUUGCAUGUUAAUAAACUCCUGUGUGUUUCUAUUUU